rnacentral:lncRNA from 1 species
CGCCGCUGCCGCGGCUCCUUGCAUGCUGUGGCCCGGGUGGGUGCCAGCGCUGCCGCGCCGCCCGCGCCUGGCAUCCCGAGCGGCCUCCUGCGUCCCGGCCCGGCUCGCAGUCUCCCCUAUGAUUGACAUCUCACAUUGCUGUGGCUCCGGAUACAGUAUGAAAACUGAGUCAAAGGUGUUCAUGAGAAAAAUGCACAAAAUCCCGACUGACCGGAAUAAUUCAUGAAGAAGGGGCUGAAUCCGUGGGUCAGAGAACACAGGACCAGUUUGCCAUCCCAAGGCGGAAGUCUGGUGACUCGGAUUUGGCCCUGCGUUUCCCACUCCUGCUGCAUCUUACCCAGUCGAGGAACGAAAGGUCUUGACACCUUCCUGAAGCAUGGGAAGAAAGGAGGUUCUGAAAGCACAGAUCCAAGACCACCAGAGGCCGGGGACAGCGAUUCCUGGAGGGGCCGCUCACACAACACCAGGAGCUGAGGAGAACUGGAGCAGGAGGAACAUGGGCCCAACAAGGGUGGAAAUACCAGCAAUUCCAAAAGUCAUCUACAUCAGUGCCCAGGACGCCCAUGCAGAACCCACUGAAUGGAAGAAAACGUGGUGGCUGCUUCCUCAAUUUGCAACUGCAGAAGCUGGAAUAAGGGCCUGAGAAGGCAGAGAAGCCACAUGAGUCCAGUCCCAAAGCUGUCAGAGUAACCCUGAGGGAACUGUCUACUGAAUUAUGACCAGUUGUGCCAACAGACAUUGAGAAGAGACCUCCUUUCCAUUGGCUCCUAUCACACCUGGCUGCCACUGCUCCUGGGAUCUGGACCAUCUUGUAUCCACCUUUGAGCGUCACUUCCUGUUUCAGCUGUGGGAGUUCUGGUCCACUUUCCCUGUGAAGAAACCUUCACUUUUUCCUCCUUUGGAGUUCUGGAUUAGACUCUUGUACCUGGAACUGGGUCAAGUUAGGCUAAACGCACCUCUAGGCAUUCCUGUUUCUCAGAAGUUGUCAAGUUCACAUCAUACCUGUUUCAUUGGUGACCAGGGGUCCACUUCUAGCAGAUGCUACCUGGCCUGGUCAGUAUUUUUCAUGGUCAUCUCUUUAGUGCCUUUAUCUCAUCCCCUGCCCAACUCAGGUGAGACUUGCCCAGUGGUGACUUCUCUCCUGGUACUUUAGAUAGGGAGAGAAAAUGUGGCUUGGUGGAUCUGCCAUCUUCUUCAGUUUGGAGGCAAUUGGAGCAUGGCUCCAUCUAGGGAGGAAAAUGACUCCGAAAGAGACUGUCCUUAUCUCAGCUUCUGCCCUGUUCUACUCUCACAAUCCUUAUUCUUGCCCUUUGUGCCUGUCCUAAUGCAGGAGAAUUGUGGUUUUCUUUUUUCUAUUAAAUAUAACUGUAGCUAUUUUCAUUAUUGCAAAACAGCACAAGCUUAUUACGAAAACAUGAGAAAUAUAGACAAUAGAAGACAAAAAAUAUUCCCAAAUUUUAUCCCAAAGACAAGACAACUAUUGAUUCAUAUAGUUAUACAAUAUCAUACACAUAUACUACAUAUAUUUAUAUAUUUAAUGUGACUAUAAUAUCACAAUACCAUUUAUAUUCUUUGAUAACACAUCUUGUCAUUUAAUGUCUUAUGAAUAUAUUUCUAUAGCAACAAGCUCAGCUAUACUGAAAUUUUAAGAGUACUCAAUUGUAUAUAUGCCCUCAUUUAUCUCAUCUCACAUAGUUUAAUGUUUAGGCUGUUACCUCCUUUUCUAUAUUGUCAUUAAUGAUCAUGGAUUUAGUUUAAUCUUCCUAUAAUUAUUUCCGUAAGGUAAAUCCUUAGAAAGGGAUCGAAGGAUGAGUAGUAAAGGUUGCAAAGCUCUCCGAAUCUGGAGCCAGCAAUAACUGCUCAGACUCCCUUAAAAAUAAGAGCUCUAGGAAGGCCACACAUGCCCUUUCCCAGAUUCCUUCCCAUAGCUACACUUGGGCAGCCCUGACUUCUUUCACCUUGCCCUGAACGGAGAAUAGCCCUGAGAGAUGGCUGAGGAACAGGUAGUGAAUGAGCGAGUGGUGGUGUCAGUUUGGGUUUGGUUUUUGGAUAAACUUCACAGUUCCUCAUUGGAUGCUGAGAAAUGAUUAUUCAUUCAUGACCCAUUUAUGGAAGAGCCAUUGCUUCCAGAUGCCAGGCUAGAGGCUGAGAAGACAGAGAUGGAUUAAACAGGAAUUCUUCUCUCAGGAAUAGCACAGCCUAGGGAAGGAAGGCCCGUGAUAGACAGCACACAUUUACUCCAUGAUAAAGAGGAAACGUAUAAGAUCAGUAAUAUAUCUCAGGGAAGAAAACUGGAACCAUCUAAAAUCCCACAGGGAAAAUAUGAGGUUCCUGCAGUCUACUAGCCCAUUCAUCUCAGCUAACACCUUUGUGUGGAUCCUUUGGUGGUGAGACUUGCUCGCUUGUGGUCAUCCUUGCUAAACACAACCUGCCCAAAGGCAUUGACCGUGUCCUUCCUUUGCACCUCUAGCAAACUGGUACCAUCUUAUACCAUGGCUUCUGAAAUCUGUUCAGUGUAAAAUCCAAAUUAGAGUAAACAAAAUUAAAGGUAAAGAGAUUCAUGAGUUGAAACAAAGACUCAAUGUUUUAUGUAUGUAAGAAAAUUUGCAUUAAUUCAUAUCCUUCUGCCUGAUAGAAACUUUCUCAGAUAUUUCAUUAUAGAAGAAACAAUCACAUUCCAGAAAAUGUGGGAAGUAGAGAAAAGGAGAAUUAUCAGCCCAUCUCACCAUCCUAACCCAGGGCAAAUAGCAUUCUAGUGACCUUUGCCCUGAAAAAUUUGUAUUAAGAUGGUGUUGAGGACAAGAGCUAAGGAACAUGUGAGUUUUUCAUCUCCAAUUUUAUUGUGAAUAAAUAUAUCUGAUAGUGAAUUAUAUUCAUGUAGUUCAAAAUUCAAAAACACAAAAACAGAGACUGAAAAGUCCAUGAACCCCAGCCUCUAUUACUUGGAGACAUCCAGGAGUCUCAGUGUCUUGUGUAUCCUUCUAGAGUUUUUGUGCAUAUUAAACCAUGCGUGUUUAUAAAAUAUGAGUUUUGACUAGAGGGCUUUGGCAAAACUGUUACCAAAUGUCCUAAAUUUAGCUAAACUAUCUUCAGUAAUUUUAAUGGCAGGCCUGAGGUACAGAUGGAGAAGAGAAAAGGAUGGAGAGAGCGAGAGAGAGAGAGAGAGAGAGAGAGAGUGCUCCUGAGGGAGAGCGUGAAAGAAAGAGCAAUCUUUCAUUUAUCCAACUAGUAUUUAUUGAGCAGAUAUUACAUCUCAGAUAUUAUUCUAUGCCCAGGUGAUACAAGAGUGAAAAAAAUUCCCUGACUUCAUGGGGAUUAAGAAUGGAAGGUGGCAAACAAUAACCAUAAUCAAAAAGUAAAUUAUAAAGUCCAUCAGAAUGUGAUAAGCGUUAUGGAAAAACACAAGUGGGGUCCAGGAGAUGAGGCACAUCAGGAGACAGUUUUAACAUGAGUGGUCAGGGAGGGCUUCACUGAGGAGGCCUUAAAGGAGGCGAGAAGAUGGGCCCUGCAGAUACUCAGGGAAAGGGCACUGCAGAGGGAAGAAGCAAUGCACAGGCCUCGCAGCAGAAGUCAAGGCCUGGAGGUUUCCAGCAGCCAACCUCCUCCAGCUCCGGGCUGUUCCUGGUAACCUGUGCCCGCAGCUGGCUUCCCUUGGAGUUCAGGUCAGGCCGGUGUGUUUGGGCCAUAGUGCUAAGCUUACUGUAUACUAGACGUCAGUUUGUCUUCUCUCUAAAUUUUGAUUCUGAUGCUUAAUUUGACUCCUUCCAAGGUGAUUCUGUGGUUAGUCUGAAUAAGGAAAGGAGAGGGGCAGUGUUAUUGUAGUAGGUAGACAAGGUUGACAUUUGGGGGUCCUGGCUUUUAAACCAAUUCUGUUUUCAAGUCUUUUGUCAGACACAUUAUUCAACCUUUCCGGUCCUCAGGUUUGUCUCUUAGGAAACAAAAAGAAUGUGCUUAGUUGGCUUUAGGGCUGUCCCUACCAUUGGUUUUCAAGCUCUGUGACCAUGUGAGCAGUCCAGGUAGGAAGUGGCAUCAGAUGACAUCUAGCAACACCAGGGGACACAGAGGAGCUUCUGCCUGCAGAGGACUGUGUGCAUGAUAUGUGCCGCCACCUCGUUUCCCUUCUAGACUAGAAGAGCCCAGACCAGAAGAGCCCAGACCAUCCUUCAAAUAGAAUAUUUCACCUGAAUAAGCCCAGAAUUCCCUAAGUGAACAGAGGAGACAUGGGGACACGGUUAAUUGCUUUGUUCUUGUGCCGUUGGCAGUAUGGUUCCCUUUAAGCCCAGAAGGGCUCCUUUCCCCUGCCCCUUGGCGGAGCUCAUUCUCCAUAGGCAGUAGGGGUGGCAUGCUGGGGCCAGGGCUCCUUGUUUUGUUCCUUUGGGCCACAGAGGUCCCCUCCCUGUUUAGUGUCUUCCAGUUGGACACAGGGAGUCUUCGUCUACCUGGGGAAUAAGACACUGAGGAGGAGGGAAGCGUGUCAUGGACACCACUCUCCUUCCAGCAAAGUCACUGUGAAUUUAAAACUCAGACUGUGUGUAAGAGGUUGUGGGGGCAGAAAGGGGCCUUUGGAAAUUUCAUUUGGAGGCAGAGGUGCUAAACAUGAAUAGAAGCCUUUGCUUUGACUCUCAGAGGGUGAGUCACCUUGGUUAUAGUUACUCUUGGUUAUUCCUUGCUUUUUCUUUUGUUAUCUCCGCCCGCACCCCCGCCAUACCCACCCAUCUUUAGCAUUCUUAGCUGCUUUUCUACAGGUCAGCUGAAAAGUGACUUGCAGAAUAGGGCUUCUCUUCCCCUAUUGGAGUUCAUGGGCAUUAUGUUUCCUAGCACUGGGAGGAAAUAUACACGACCAUGCACUUUCCACUCAUAAAGGACCCUGAGGUAUUUAAUUGUGAAAAUCAACUUCUGAUUUAUGUUACUUUCCCAGUGCCUUUUCUUUACACACAUAUGAAAAUUGCUCUAUUACUUCUUACAUUUCAUGCAGUGCCCUUUGUCUCCAUCAACUGUUGUGGAGAGAAAUUUUAUUUGGAAUAUUCAUAACAAGUCUAUCGCUAAUUAUCACUUUAACAAUGUGUUAUGGAGUGUAUCCAUGCAGUCAUCUGGAAAAGCACAUAUGCCAUGAAAUUUGGGGACUUGCUGUGUGCUGUAGGUGCCCAGUCUCAGUGUUUCAUCAGAUCUUUGCUUGGGGAGGAGGUAGAGGUGCUUUGUGAGGGAGUAUGGAGGCCUGCAUCCUGCAUUCCUGUCCUCAUAGCAACAGUUUCCAGGGUGACUUGUUUUUGAGUGUAAAAAAAACCUUAAUGUGAAACAAAAACCCUUCCCUACUCUGCAGCCCUAUUACGGUCAGCCCAGGUCAGUGCCAGGUAGACUGAUCUUAGCCACAGAGCUAAUCGCAGAUGAAGACCCUGCUGUUCUUGGUGCCAUCCUGGCACUCUGGCAAGAAGAGUGGAGCUAAAAUUGCCACCUGGUUGGCAGGCCUCAGAAGCAAAUGGAGAGUGACCUCAGCAUGUCAGAAUGAGAAAGGAAAGAAUGCCUCGGUGUUUCUUUCUUCCUGCUCUCUUUUCUCUGGGAAAGGAGAAUGGACUCACACUGGGUUUCUUCUCCAGGAUUCUCAGUGAGUCUGGGAUUUGGGAGGCUAGAAUCAUAUUUUUACCAGGACACAUGGAGCGCUUCCCUCUGAAGCUUCCUGAUGGACAUGGAUGAAGCCCCAGAGGCUGCCUCCAAAUGAGGGCAGAGUAAUGGAGCCUAAUGGAGCACAGCUCCUAGUCUGAGCACAGUCCUACCGCAGGGAUAAAUCAAGCAGCCUUUAGGUGGGGCCAGGAAGGGGACAGAGGGAAAUGAAUGACUGUGUUGAGCUCAGCAUGACUUUGUGGAUCCUCUGAAGCUUUUAACUAAGUGGAGGAUUCAGACUCAGGAAUUUACUGAGGAAUAUGACUUGGAAGGAUGGAAAGUUGCAUCUGUUAUAACAAGCUUUUAAGGAUGAGUUUUCAGAGCACUUGGAGCCUGGUUUUGUUGGAUGUUACUUUAGAAAUAAUAACUACUUAUUAUUUGUUAAGUGCUUACUCAGUACUAGGCACAUUGUUCAUCAUAAUCAAUAAUACCUAACAUUGAUGGAGUAUUUGUGAUGUACCAAACUCUCAAGCACUUUAGAUUCUGACUUAACUAGGUCCUAGAAGGAAGCCCCCAUUGGAGUCAUCACUAAUAUGUAGAGAAAUUGAGGCUCAGGGUAUUAGAUAACUUACCAGAAACACUAAGGAAACCAGUAGCUUUAGGUCAGUCACUUACCUGUUUCAGGACACAGAGCACAGAGGCUUUCCCCCUUUACCCUUUAUGAAACAGCAGGAGAGGACGGGGGCUGUAUCUCAGUGGUAGAGCUCUUGCCUAGCGUGUGCAAGGCUCUGGGUUUGAUCCCUUGUACCACAAAAACAAAACAACCAUAACAACAGCAAAACCAGCAGGAGAAAGUGCUGAGAAACAGCAAGAAAGUGGGGCACUGAAAGGGGACAGGAGUCUGUGUAGCCCUGGGUCAGUGCUGGUACAAAGCUGGCCUUAUGACCUGGGUGCUUUGCAUCUGUUAUAAUGCACUGUGAAAACCCAGUGUUAGCUGUUGUCCUAAAGAACUGAUUCAAUAAACCCUACAUUUCUGGACAUUUGGUUUCCUUGUUUCUAUUUGGGUGGCACUAGGAUUUGGGAGGAGCUAGUUGGGAAUGUAUUUAAGGAGGAAAACUUUGGAUGUGGUUUUAGAAACAAGGCACCACAACCAGACUGUGAUGCAGGCUUCAUCUGUGGACAGGUGUAUGUGGACAGGUGCAUUGUGCAGGCACCAGCGCGGGCAGAGGAAGUGGUAGGUUUGAAGGUAGCAAAAUAGGGCGGCUUUGUUGUUGUCUGGCAUGGGCCCUGCCAGGCCACAUCCAUUAACUAUGCCAACACCACUGCUAAUAGGUGGGUGAUUCAGCUCCUUCCUGCAUUUUAUUGCCCAACAGAGACUUUAAUAGCCUUUUGAUUUAGCAAGUUAACAAAGUAAGCUCUCAAGCUCCACUGUUUAACACCAGCUGGAUGACCCUGGGCCUGCUGCUGCCUGGAGCCCUCUGGUACAGUCUUUGCAUUGAAAGAAGAGAAAGCUGUGGAAUUUUCAGGCUCUCCUCGAGAGCUCCUUUUGGGGCAGCCCUGCCAGCCCAGCAUGCUUAGACCCCUCCGAUGUCAUAUGUCGCCCCCGCCCCCAUCAGUCCAGCCGCAGAAGAGAUCUGUCUAGAAGUUAAUAUCCCAGGAACCUAAAGGUUGGGUGUCUUUGAGGAAGAGUGUCAGAUGAGAAUGUGAGGGUUCCCGGAUGGGGCUCUUUAUUGAUUUCCUGGAACUAUUGUGUAACAAAUUAUCACAAACUGGAUAAUUUAAACAAUAAACACAUUCUACCACAGUUCUAAAAGCCAGAAGUUUGAACUCAAGGUGUUGGUAGGGCCAUGCUCCCUCAGAAGGCCCUAGAGAAGGACCUUUGCAUGUCUCUUACUGGCUUCUGGUGGUUGCCAGUGAUCCUUACUGUCCCUUAGCUCGUAGACACAUCACUCUGUCUCUGCCUCUGUGGCCACACAGCCUUCUCCCUGUGUACGUCUUAUAAGGACACAAGCUGUAUUGGAUUUGGGGUCCACACAACUCCAGGAUGCUCUCAUCUUAACUAGUUACAGCUGGAAAGGCCCUGUUUGAAAGCAACAUAAGAGUCUGAGGUUCUGGGUGGACCUGAAUGUCCAGGCCCUUUAAAAGCAAGUGAAAAGAGGUAGGCCAUGUGGUAGCUGAUUCACACAGCUAGAGAGAGGUGGUUUCAGACAACACUUUCUGGUACAACUUUGUGCAGUGAUGGGAAGGCCCUGUAGCUGCACUGCUGAAAAUGUGGCUAAUGCGACAGAGGAACUGAAUUUAGCAUUGUGAUUGAUUUAAAUUAAGUUAAACAGUCAAGUCAUGUGACCAGGGGCUACUGUUGCAGAGAGCAAAGCCCUCAACCAGUGAAGGUGAACCUUUUAGAAACUGAGUGCCCAAACUGCAACAUAGAACCUACUUAUUUAUCGCAAAGUGCCAACACUGCCAUUAAACCCGAAUACUGAGGCUUUAGUUUAGAAAAGACAACUCAUAUAAUAAUAUCUUUUGUCUUGAAAGAAAAACAAAUAACACACGUGUCAUAGGUUCACCACCGCUGCCCUAAACCCUCCUGAGUGUGGAAUAGGAGAAGGAGACGUGAAGGCUGUCAAAGUCUGGGCAGGGCCAUUUGCAUCCAGGAUGGCCAUCAGCUGUUUAGGAUGCUGAUCAAGGUCUGCAGGGGUCUCUUUCCGUCUCCGGCUAGAGGAAGGACAUCACAUGGGAUCUCAGCACACAGGACAAUGGUCUCGGGAGUUCUUAAACCAGCAGCACCUCUUCCAAAGGAAGUCAUUUGUACUUUUGACAUGUAGGACCAUUAGUUGGAAGAGAGGCUGAUUUGGAUGGAGGUCAGAGACCUUCAUAGGGUUCCACCUUGCCUUCUCUUGAACCCUGAACCACAAAGUGAGGAAAUUAUGGUUGAGCCUACCAACCAUGUGAGAGAACAAGAAAUGGAGGUUCAGAGAAGUAGAGAAACUUAACAAGGUCACAGAGCAAGUGGUUUGAUGAAUAUCGUUAUCUUUGGAUUUCUGAGGAUCCAUUCCUGGGUCCUUCUAAAGUCCUUGAUGCCCUUUUUGAAAGAAGAUACUCAGUCUACUAGUCAGCUACUAUGAAAAAACUACUCUAAGGUCAGAUGCAACUUCUGGCUUAAUCACAACAGAAUUAAUGUUUGUUCGGUUGCUGGUUUUGUUUUGUGAACUGGCUGAGAUCUGUAGGUGAGUAUUAUGCAUGGGUACCCUUUCCAGGUGCCACUCAUCAAAUGCACACUAUAUGCCAUUACAGGCUGAGUAGAGUCCUUCAUUUCAUUGUAUCAUUGAAUCUCCAUAGGUUGGUGAUGUUGGUAUUACUGAUCCCAUUUGGGGAAAACUGAGGCUCAUGGGAGUGGGAGGCAGGGUUCCCAACCCAUGCCUUUUGCUCAGGGAGUUGCUGUCUCCUUAGAAGGAUGGUAAAGAAAUAUAAAAUAUCUGUCAUGAAUUAGGAAGAAUGUCCUAAAAUCUCAAGGUGCCAUUUAAAGGCAAAGACCAGUGUGGCUCGUGAGGGAAGGAGAGGCCAGACCAGGAGGUGACCACAAGCAGGUACAAGGCAGCCAGGCAUCCCAACGCAAUGCUGUGGUAAGAAAGCAAGGAGUAGAACAGCGUUGUGGAAAGUGAAAACCGCCUAGGAUGUGUGGGAGGCUGGAGGCAGAUGGGUGUGGAUGAGAAGGGCAAUAGGAGGGAUCCUUGUGUGAUGGAAAUGCUCUGUCUUUUCCCUGUAUCCAUGACUUGCCAUGAUAUUGUGGUAUAAGGUAGUUUUGCAAGACGUCGGCAUUGGGGGAAACUGGGUGAAGGGUACGUGAGAAUUCUAUGUGAAUCUAUACAAGUUUAAUUUUUAAAAUAUAUACAGAGUCUACUCCCAAAAAUGUAUAUACACUCCAAGAAAAGAAAUAUAGGAUGAUGUUUUUCCAACCCUCGUAUGGGGAAUCCUAGAGGAUGUCGUAUAUCGCAGAAAACCCACUCCACUGCUAGCCCUUAGAGAAGAAAUUAAAAGUACACGUGCAGCAAUUUCAAUGACCAAGGUUACACAAGCAGUAGUUGGCUGUACUAACAAAGUUCUGGAAGCCAGUGACCACACUUUGGCCACCUCUUGUAACUGUAGAGGCUGAAGGUAACUUACAUUAAACUCAUGAUGUCUCAAUAAAUUUAGUAUUAAAAUAUUUAUACAAGCUUUUCUUUUCUUGAAGUGCAUAUACUUUUUUGGUGAACUCUGUAUAUAUAUGGGAGAGAGAGUGGAGUUCACAGACCCCCAGCCCUUCACCCCUUGCAUGCACUCCAGGAGAAGCUUGCAUGGUGUCUUUUUGCAGCAAGGUAUCUUCAGGUGUCUGUCCUGGAUGCCUUUGGGCAGGACCAAGAGGAAUACAUGCCUGAGAGCUAGGCAGAUGGCACUCGGAGAGACAGAUGGCCAGAAUCCCCAGAGGUGGGAGCACUCACUGAGCACCUACUAGGUGCCAGGUGCUGUUCCAGGGCUAGAGACUGAGGUUAGGAAAGCUGGUGCAGCUUCCCACAGGUUUGCAUUGUACAGUUGAAGACAGAUGUAAACCAGGAACAGGGCAAUGCCAGGUGGUGACAGGUGCUGUGAAGAAGAUGAAAGAGCAGAGUGUGACAGAGUAGCUGGGGGCUGCUUUUGCUGGAGCAGUCAGGGAAGGCUUCUUUGAGGAAAACCUAAGUGAGAAGGAGGCAGCCAUGGGGACAUGUGAGGGAGAGUAUUCUAUGCAGGAGGAAGAGCAGGUGCAGGAUCUCUGAGACAGGAAUAAGCUUGUGCACGAGGGGCAAGAUGAAGACCAUAGGAAGGGAAGCACUGGCAUUGGGAGCUGGAGGGCGAUGAAGCUAAAAAGACAGGCAAAGGCCAGAUCCUAUAGGCAGGUGCUUGCAGAUGUUGGUAAGGAGUUGGUAUUGGGAGUCUCUGGCAGGUCUGAAGUAGGUACAUGGCCAGCUAUGUGUGGAUGGGUUUUAGAAGGGCAGGAGUGGAAAAUAGUAGACCACAUUGUACUACUGCAAUGGUCCAUGCAAGAGGGCAGUGUCAUGAGUAGGGCUUUGGCAUUGGCAUGGGAAACCUGUUGGAUUGGGGUUGCUCUGAGAGGAGAGCUAUCAGAGAUUUGCUGGUGGUUUACACAUGGAUGCGAUGGCAAGAAAAAGAUCCAGGAUGAUUCCCAGGUCUGCUGUUUCAUUCUAUCCCAGCUAACUCCAAAGGACUGGUCAGAGAAUGUCCUUCAGAGAAUAGCACUAAAAAUAGAUGAGAAUUGGGCUGAGCCUCAAAAAGUGUGGGUUGAAGGGGUGACCCCCUCACCAGUUUCACCACUCUGGUCCUUAGGCUCUUUCUUGCUGCAGGGAGCAGACCUGCUCUGCUUUUCUUGUACAUGGAGCUGAUUGUAAGAUGGUGGUGAGGUGAGGGGGUUUGGCAGCCAUCCUGGCAGUGGUCCUGUGACACCCAGGAGAACGGGGGCACAGUCUUCCCCCACCUAAGCAGCUAUCAGCAGACAUCAUAUACUGUCCAUGUCUCCACUGUUCUGAGCCAGCUGUGGUUUGGAGCCCCCUGCAGACAUGCUGCCUCCUCCUUCACUCUCUGGGCUGCACACUCCAGAUGCCCUGCAGGGAGAGUCUCCUAGGAUUGGCUGGUCCAUCCAGGCCAUGUCUGCAGGGCAGAGGGCUCGGGCCAGGCCAUUGCCAAGGCAGCUGGAGUCCUUGAUGCAUCCCCCAAAAGCCAUUGCCUUUGACUUGUUCUGGGCCUAGUUGUGGCCCAAGCAUCAUGGAACAGAAAAUGUGCAUAGCAGCACAAGUGCCCGGGGCUGGGUGUGACCUCCAGAGGUGUGGCAGGCAUUGGCAUAGACGUCCUGGACACAAAAGCUGUGCAAUUCAGGAAGGCCAGUGUCCAGUGGAUGAGAAGGACCUAACAUGUCAGUAAGGUGGACAGCUUCUGUCGGCAAAAGUGGGAGGCACGCAGAAAAUAACCUUGGAUUUGUGUAAUAGUAUCUCUUGUGAUGUGGGAUUAAUUUUAUCUUUGGUGCUGCAUCUUUGGUGGCCCAGGGAACGCUGCAUUUCUCCACUCUCUUCCGUCCAUCAAAGUGGCUCCUCAAAGAGCACUUCUCACAUUCCUCACCCCAAGGAUAGAACAGAAUCACCUCAAGCACAGAACCAUGGCCCUAGGGGACAUGGCCUUCACCUGCUUCCUUUUUAUCUGCCUCGCCUAAUUCAUCUUUCCUUUCUUUUUCUCCCUUAAUCCCUCGAAGUUAGCCAGGGAGGGGCAGAAAGGAAUCUUGGUUUUUGUCUGACUCUAUAGGAGUACAGUUGCUAGAACUGAACUGUGUUUCCCCUAAAUUCCUAGGUUGAGCCCGAAUCCUACUGUAAGUGUAUGUGGACAGAGGCCUUGAGGGGGGAAAGGGUCCUGCAGAGCACUGGUAUUCUUAGGAGAAGAGACGCUAGAGGUUGCUUCCUCCCCUGCACACACAGAGGAAAGUUCAUCGGGGUCAGACAGAAGGCAGAUGUCUACAAGCCAGGAAGAAAGUCCUCACUAGACAGCUAAUCCUCAGAACCUUGAUCUGAGACUCCGCAGCCUCCAGAACUUUGUGAAAUUACAC